AAUAUUGCACAAUCGGGGGAAACCCUGAUGCAGCCAUGCCGCGUGUGUGAAGAAGGCCUUCGGGUUGUAAAGCACUUUCAGUAGGGAGGAAGGUAGUGUAGUUAACACCUGCAUUAUUUGACGUUACCUACAGAAGAAGCACCGGCUAACUCCGUGCCAGCAGCCGCGGUAAUACGGAGGGUGCGAGCGUUAAUCGGAAUUACUGGGCGUAAAGCGCAUGCAGGCGGCUUGUUAAGUCAGAUGUGAAAGCCCGGGGCUUAACCUCGGAAUUGCAUUUGAAACUGGCAGGCUAGAGUCUUGUAGAGGGGGGUAGGAAUUUCAGGUGUAGCGGUGAAAUGCGUAGAGAUCUGAAGGAAUACCAGUGGCGAAGGCGGCCCCCUGGACAAAGACUGACGCUCAGAUGCGAAAGCGUGGGGAGCAAACAGGAUUAGAUACCCUGGUAG
rnacentral:rRNA from 1 species